rnacentral:pre_miRNA from 10 species
CUUUGACUUUAACAUGGGAGUGCUUUUCUGUGUGUUCUCAGAGAGUAAGUGCUUCCAUGUUUGAGUAGAAG